rnacentral:tRNA from 1 species
GGAUUGGUAGUAUAAUGGUUAUUACACUUGAUUUGUAAUCAUGAAAUCACAGUUCGAUUCUGUGCCUUUCCUC